AGCGAACGCUGGCGGCAGGCCUAACACAUGCAAGUCGAACGAACCUUUCGGGGUUAGUGGCGGACGGGUGAGUAACACGUGGGAACGUGCCUUUAGGUUCGGAAUAACUCGGGGAAACUUGUGCUAAUACCGAAUGUGCCCUUCGGGGGAAAGAUUUAUCGCCUUUAGAGCGGCCCGCGUCUGAUUAGCUAGUUGGUUGAGGUAAUGGCUCACCAAGGCGACGAUCAGUAGCUGGUCUGAGAGGAUGAUCAGCCACAUUGGGACUGAGACACGGCCCAAACUCCUACGGGAGGCAGCAGUGGGGAAUCUUGCGCAAUGGGCGAAAGCCUGACGCAGCCAUGCCGCGUGAAUGAUGAAGGUCUUAGGAUUGUAAAAUUCUUUCACCGGGGACGAUAAUGACGGUACCCGGAGAAGAAGCCCCGGCUAACUUCGUG
rnacentral:rRNA from 1 species